ACCGAAGCGAUCAACGGACGUCUCGAACACCUCCACGGCACCGCCCGCAGCUUUCAGACCCUCCUUACCCACGGCACCACCAGAUCCCUCUUGGAAAUCGGCAGAUCCAGACCCCAACAA
rnacentral:sRNA from 1 species